AAAAUAAAACAACCAACAGGCUAAAGCAGGAAUUUCCAGCCUUUGCUUCUCAGGAAAAGCAGAACGAUUGCUUAACAUGUGUGCAAAGACAACCUUUGCUUACCCUGUGUGGUACAAUCAGUUGUGUUUUUGUUCUGCUUGAUACCAAGAGCCUUGUUAUAUUCUUUAAAGGUGCUAUUUUGACAUAACUCUUGAAUUCUUUAACACUGUGCUUGAAAAAAUCGAAUUGAUCCUUUACUUGAAUGUUAGCUAUCAAUUGAUGGUGAGUGGUUGCUCCUUUGUUCUUUCUUAGUUGAGGUCAGGGAAAUUGUCCAUAUUUAAGGUACAACUUUUCUCUGUGAACAGCCUGUAUACUGUCCGUACUUACACCCUUCAUGAAAUAAAAUAACUGCCCUUCACUGAACAAUAGGCUUUUUUAUCUAAGUAUUGCUGUAAAAUGUUGAAGUGUUCAAUUUACAUGGGGACUCUUUCCUCAUGUAUCUCAUUCCUGUGAAAUAGUUUUCUUGAGUUGCAUCCAGUUCCCAGGAGGUGUCAGAUAAGUACGAAACAUUUACCUGAUUGAUUCUUUUUUAAAAAAGUUACUUUGAAUGCACUGUACCUUCCUCUUGUAGGCUUUUAAGAAGUCCUAUACCAUUUCACUAACUAUUAAUCAUGGAAAGUUAAGCUGCCCAUCCCCAAAUACAGUGAAGGUAGGAUAGUAAAGAGAGGCAAAUUGAAAGUUUGUCAAGUUUUCUGAACUUAAUCAAUGGGGGAAGAAACAUGCCCAGAGCAGUUUCAGGCAGGUUGAUUUUUGGUGGCAAAAUUAUUCCCCACCUGCUUCCCCCUGUUUGCAUAAUGGCCCCACUCUGGAUUGAAGCCAACUGCGGCUGCUGUUCUUAAAAGGGAGAAAGGGCAGGCCAACAAUGACUUGUCUCUUCUGGAGGAAGUUGAGUGGAAGUUGUGCCUGUUAUACCUAGUUGAGGAAGAGGGAGGCUUUUGUAGAGGUAAGAUAAAAGCAGGCAGCAAUACUUUAGGUUUCCUUCCCAAUUUUGGUGACAGUGGAGAAAUAUGAAUAUAAUCUUCCAUGCCAUUUAUGAUCUCCCUGGGUAGGCUUGGUGUGGGGAAAACCUUUCAUUAUUAUUUUUAACCAGAUGUUAUAACCAUUGGGGUGAAAAACACAAUACAGUUAAAUCGAUUGCUUCUUUGUCCUCAGGUUGUCCUUGCAAUUUCACUGCAUCAAGGCAAGGCUGCUAUUUUAGUAACUUUCUUAUCAUUGCCUGAUAAGGAAGAGAAAGGAAAAGAACGUAACAUGGAUCAAUAAUUUGUUCAUGUGUUCUGAACCCUCUUAGUGGAGCCUCUCAUUUAUUGACACCUCUCUGACUAAGUCUUUUGUUUUGUUUUUGCACUGGGAUUUGAAACUUUGUUUUUAUCAAUAAUAAUUAUAGUUUGUCUUCUUCAAGCACAGAUCCAUUCCUGGCUGCCACAGGAAACCCCACCAGUUGGAGGCUGCUUCAUAUUUUGGCAGGAUGUUUCCCAUCAGAUCUGUAUUUCUUCAGUGUAGGUUUGGUUUGCUCUAUGCCAGAGGUAGGCAAUCGCCUUCUAAAUCCGGCCCGCAGAUGGUCCGGGAAUCAGUAUGUUUUUACAUGAGUAGAAUGUGUCCUUUAAUUUAAAAUGCAUCCCUGGGUUAUUUGUGGGGCAUAGGAAUUCGUUCAUAUUUUUUUUCAAAAUUUGAUCCGGCCCACCACAUGGUCUGAGGGACGAUGGACCGGCCCACGGCUGGAAAAGGUUGCUGACCCCUGCUCUAUGCUGUAAGGCUGCCUGCUAUUCUGAGCUACACAUUUGCAUCCAUCCAACCAUUGGAUACAAAAAUGAAAUGUCCUCAGACUUUUCUAGUAUUCAGGAUGUCAUAGCAAAAAGACAGAUUGUGUGGUUUAAUUUUUUUUAUAGAGAAUAUGGGCCCAAUUUAAUGAUAAAUACAUGCAUGUAACAAACCUCCAAUAGAUCUCCACCCUCAACCAUUUUCAGGGGAAAAAGUUUUGGUAGGGCUUAACAUCUUCCCUACCUAUCAUUUAUCUGCCUUUCCAAUUCUCCUCUCCGCCAGGCAGCUGUGUAUUGGGGGGGGGUAUUGAGUGUCUGUUGCAUGUGUUUUAAAUGCAGCAUCUAAUUCAACCAUCUCUUUUCCAGUUGGAACUUAAGAUGUUUAUUCAACUUUAGAAAGACCUACUUACAUUAUCUUUAUAAGCUAAUGCCAACUUAUAGCAAAUUCAGGUAAAUCUCUUUUUUCCUAUACAAAUCCAUAGUGGGCAAAACUAUGACAAGAACUGUAUGCAAGAGGAAGUUAGUAAACCAUAACCACCUCUCCACCUUCUUGUUCAGCUCAGCUAUGCAACUUUUGUUUGUAUGCUCUUCUGAAAGGACUAUGCAGACAAAAGAGAGCAACAACCUCUAACUUCUCUGUAAAUACCUGUGCUAAGAAAUGCCUUCUGCCUCACCUCAUUUGGCUAUUUAGCAUCUCCAGUCAAAGUGAUUAGUCCAGAUUUGGAAGGGAGUUGGUUUCUUGUUUCUGCUGAAAUGCGUUCAGAAAUGCAGAGGGGUGGGCAGGCAGACUGGCUAGUGGGUUUUUUGUGUGUGUUCCAUUUACCUCUGAGCAAGUAUUUCAUGUCAUUUGUCGUGUUUGAGCUGCUUCACUGCUUCACUUAGCACAAAUGAAACUAAUUGUUUUUUGUGGUCUCUUGUUAAUCUAAAAAUUGCCUUCCAGAGAAAGUUGUAUGCAUAUAAGCUUUGUUGAAAUAAAUGGGAGAGCACUGUUUUUAACCCUGUAUUUAUAGCAACAUUUGUUUCAACAGGACUUCAGUGCAGCUAAUUUUCUGUGGAUUGUGCUCACAGCUUUAUUUCAAUGAGCUCAAAGAGAACUUAGAUUUAAAUAUCAUGUUUCUUUUCUUAAUUGAAAAAUACAUUAGAUACUAGGAUUUUAAAUGUAGUUUGACUCUGUAUAGCCAAGCCAAAAGGUAAUUAUACAUUUCUUGUUCUUCCGACACAUCCACAGUGUGUGUUAACAGAAAUGCAGGUUAUUUAAGGAAACAUACAAUUUUUGUACUUUGUCAAAGUGGCCUUUUUAGAGGAAGCACACAGUACAUUGAUUAAUGUUGUGUAGCUGUAUAAUUUCAGAGGAACUUUUUUCGUAUUGUAAUGACAGAAUUUGUAUACAUUUUUCAAAAUAAUAUGCUCUUUUGUUUAGAAGUGUGUAGACAUAAUGGGCAAAAUCCAAAAUACUCCAUUCCACAAUUCCCAUCAUUAUAUAUUUUGCUUGGCUCUGUAUAUGUUGUGGGCAACCCCACAGUCCUCAGUGGCACGUAUAUUCUCUAAAGACUAUUCCCUAGUAGUGAAGGGAAUGGACCAGCUCCUUCCUCCCAUGCAAUAUGAGACUUACAAAGUAUCAGGGCUGUUGGAUGUCUAUGAGAACACUUUUAACUCCAUCCACUUAGUUUGUAUAUUUACCAUAUUAAGGGAGUGAAUUGUAGACAUGAAGUGCAGCUUUAUGACCCUAGAUGUAUAGAACAAUCUCGUAAAUGUAUGAUGUCUUCCAUUGGGGGAAAAAGAGAGAUUCAUAGUUUCAGAGUUGUCAGACGCAAGCAAUUUGCAAAAAUAAGAAGUUAUCACUACACAUAACCUGCCUGGGGGAUGCAGGCCACUCCCAGCUUUUGAGACCCUGGCCAUAAAAAUAAAAUAAAAUGAUGAUACACAAAAACAAAAUAAGGCACCAGAAAUAGGAACUGAGUAUAAUGGGGGGGGGAUGUAUUUAACAAAUGUUUUUCUAUCCUUUUUAAAAUUCCUGAUACUUGGUUCUUGAUGUUUAUGGCUGACCUGCUGAAUUUCCAAAAACUUUAUUUUUCUUGCCAUAGCUGCUGCUUUUAAUUGCCAUCUUGACAGUUAACAUGAAAAAUCCAGAAAUUUUAAUGGUAUGAGAAUUGGAAUCAGACAAAAUUAUCUAUGCAUAUAUUCUGUUGGUUAGUGCUCAGUUUGCUUUCGUCUAUGGAUUCUACUAGAUAGCAUUAGGGGAAAUGUUGGCAAACUGAAUAAUUGGAAGAGUCAUACAAGAAUAGGUUUCUGGGUUGGAUUUUAAAAUGGGAUGUAAAUGUCCCUCAAGUUAUUUAUGCAGUUCCACUGGAGUGUUUGCAAUGCUAAGUAAGGCCUGUAGAUUGCCAAAAAUAAUAGCAGUAAUAAUAUUAAUACCCUUGAUGUUGUUGAUGCUAAUUCACAAUUCUCUGCAAACCAUAAGGGAAUUCUGUGUCUACUAGUGGACCUCCAAGAUCACUUUUGUUUUGUCAGCUCGGUCAACUGGGUUUGUUCAGAUAUCAUAUGUCUCCACAAGACACUCCAAGGAACCCCCUCCUGUGCUGAAUAGAUGACGCAGAAGAUGAAACCAAACCAAGAUGUGAAGAUAUGGCUAGAAACUACAUUGAAAGCUGUUGUGUGGAGUCAGUCCUGAGCUAGCAGGCCCAUUGCUCCAGACUUGGACCAGUAGCAACUUUCCCAUCUUGGGCUCAGGUUUUUUUCUAGCCUCACUAGCCAACAUUCCAUCUUACCACAUCUGCAUCUGCAUACAAAGCCAGCCAGAAGAAGUUUCUUUUUUUAAAAAAAUAUAUUUUUAAAAAGUUAGUGGCAUGCUGCUGGCUGUGUUUUUUUAUUCCUUGCUUACCCUUUGUAAUUCAGCUAUCAGUCAGUGCUGGUGAGUAUAAUAUAUUUACUCUGCUGCAGGUGUCCCCCAGCUCCCUCAGUCAUGGGACAGAGCCCAUUCCCAUGGCUGCCCUUCCCAUGAAUGACAAAGUGAUUUUAAGCUUCCAGCAGGUUCUUGGUGAACUCAUAUGGCAUCUGAACAAAUCCAUCGUUAAGUAUGCAUGGCUUGUUUUUUCCUGAUUUUGUUGUGUAAGGGAUCCCGCAUCUCUUGCUAGUUGGGGAGGGUGGUUAAUUUUUUUUUUAAAUGUAAGAACAGCUGAAGUUGGGCUAAUUUGAAUGUUACGCAUGCUAACUUGUACGGUUAUGUUUGAAGAAGAAGAAAAACGUGCAAUUCUGAAGGCACUUUGUGAUCAGUUUAUGAAAAAUGGGCUUUGCAAUGGAACAUAUGAUAUUAAUGCGUAAUUAAUAAGUAGUGUUGUCUUUGCUAUCUGUAUAUCCUUCUCAAGUGUUUUGUCAAUGCCUCUUUUUUAAAAAUGUUGUGCUUCUGAGAAAUCUUGUUCAACUUUGUUAAUUAGCUAAGAAAAAACAGUGGCUGUGAUUCAAUGUGAUGCGCACACGUAACACUUAAGUACAGGGGUUUCCCCCAUUCUUUGACCAGUGGAAUUCUCUGCUCCCAGUGGGAAAUUGCCUUAUACUCGUAAUGUGUUUCUCUUCCUAGAAUAAAUAUAGAUGUAACAUUUGAACUGAGGUCACAAAAGAUCUUUCACCUGUAUCUUAAUCUUAUCUAAAGCAAAACUAUAAAUAUUUAAUGAACAGCUGCAGUAUUGCUACAGUGAAUUUGUGGGGAAGAAAGGAGUGUGUUGGUGACAUCUCAAGUACUAGCCAAUUGGCACUGUUCACCUAGGACUUUUCUGUGUGCACCUGCCCUAGGACGGGAAAAGUUUUAUGCUUGGAUUGUUCAGAUGCUCCCAACCCUCCUCAUCCAUAAAAAGAGCCAUGUUGGAACAGGCCAAAGGCCCAUCUAAUCCAGCAGCCUGUUCUCACAGUGGCCACCCAAUGAGAAAUCUGUAAGCAGGACAUGAGUGUGAUGCACUCUCCUACCUGUGUACCCUUGCAACUGGUAUUCAGAGCAAUACUGCCUCCAACAGUGGAGAUAGAAUAUAGCCAUCAGGGCUAGUAGCCAUCGAUAGCCUUAAAUUGAUAUAUACACACGCUCAUUGCUCUGCAAAGUUUAUGUCAGCCUUCAGUCAUCAAAGAGAAUCCUGUCUGUGAAUCAGAGUUUAUGGGGUGUUGGAACAUGCUGAAUAUCUGAGUUUGUUUGCUUUAGGAUCCUUUUCACAUGUCCUUUGUCCAUCAGUCUGUUUUCAUGGAUAGCCUUGCAUGGCAGGCAUUUAAAAAUUACAAUUCCUUCAUUGUCGUUGGUAAUACUUUUGAGGUUUACAUAUUCUAAAGAUGCAAAAAAAAGGGAUACAAAACAGUUCUUGGAUUAAGUAGCACUUUGUUUACAUGUUCAGUAUAAUGUUGGGCAAGUAAGGGUCUUUUAUUUUUUAUUUUAAUUUAAAGCACAUAGAUUGUGCUCCAGGGGCUUUGUAGCCAUUGUGUGUAAAUUUGGUGUAAUGAUGUUUUAAGGACAGGUGAAAGUGUGUGAUAUUUUUUAAUGUAGUUUGUAUUGACCGGGUUUUAUAAAAUGUAAGAAAAAGAGUGUUGUAUUUUGACCUGAAAUCUGUGUACGGUAAAGUCACUUUGCUUUAUGUAUUGGAGGUUUGUUGAAAACUUGAACUAUUUUAUAGAAGGGUGCAGACCAAAAUUGAAUUGUCUUAAAGUUGAACUAACCAAAUAAACAUUUUAUGGUUUGCGUACA